rnacentral:tRNA from 1 species
AUUUAAGUAGCUUAAGUUUAGAGCAUAAUAUUGAAGAUAUUAAGGUAAAUAUUUUUUUAAAUA